GAUGAAGAACGCAGCGAAACGCGAUACGUAAUGUGAAUUGCAGAAUUCAGUGAAUCAUCGAAUCUUUGAACGCACAUUGCGCCCCUUGGUAUUCCAUGGGGCAUGCCUGUUCGAGCGUCAUUUGUACCUUCAAGCUUUGCUUGGUGUUGGGUGUUUGUCUCGCCUUUGCGUGUAGACUCGCCUUAAAAUAAUUGGCAGCCGGCGUAUUGAUUUCGGAGCGCAGUACAUCUCGCGCUUUGCACUCAUAACGACAGCGUCCAAAAGUACAUUUUACACUCUUGACCUCGGAUCAGGUAGGGAUACCCGCUGAACUUAAGCAUAUCAAUAAGCGGAGGA
rnacentral:misc_RNA from 1 species